AAUGAACGCUGGCGGCAGGCCUAACACAUGCAAGUCGAACGGAUCCUUCGGGAUUAGUGGCGGACGGGCGAGUAACGCGUGGGAACAUACCCGUUGGUACGGAAUAGCCUCGGGAAACUGGGAGUAAUACCGUAUGUGGUCGAGAGACGAAAGAUUUAUCGCCAAAGGAUUGGCCCGCGUUGGAUUAGGUAGUUGGUGGGGUAAUGGCCUACCAAGCCGACGAUCCAUAGCUGGUUUGAGAGGAUGAUCAGCCACACUGGGACUGAGACACGGCCCAGACUCCUUCGGGAGGCAGCAGUGGGGAAUCUUAGACAAUGGGGGAAACCCUGAUCUAGCCAUGCCGCGUGAUCGAUGAAGGCCUUAGGGUUGUAAAGGUCUUUCAGGUGGGAAGAUAAUGACUGUACCACCAGAAGAAGCCCCGGCUAACUCCGUGCCAGCAGCCGCAGUAAUAC
rnacentral:rRNA from 1 species